GGGUGGAGCAUGUGGUUUAAUUCGAAGCAACGCGAAGAACUCUUACCAGGUCUUGACAUCCUAUGAAAACCCUAGAGAUAGGGCUUCUCCUUCGGGAGCAGAGUGACAGGUGGUGCAUGGUUGUCGUCAGCUUGUGUCGUGAGAUGUUGGGUUAAGUCCCGCAACGAGCGCAACCCUUGAUCUUAGUUGCCAUCAUUAAGUUGGGCACUCUAAGGUGACUGCCGGUGACAAACCGGAGGAAGGUGGGGAUGACGUCAAAUCAUCAUGCCCCUUAUGACCUGGGCUACACACGUGCUACAAUGGACGGUACAAAGAGCUGCAAGACCGCGAGGUGGAGCUAAUCUCAUAAAACCGUUCUCAGUUCGGAUUGUAGGCUGCAACUCGCCUACAUGAAGCUGGAAUCGCUAGUAAUCGCGGAUCAGCAUGCCGCGGUGAAUACGUUCCCGGGCCUUGUACACACCGCCCGUCACACCACGAGAGUUUGUAACACCCGAAGUCGGUGGGGUAACCUUUUUGGAGCCAGCCGCCUAAGGUGGGACAGAUGAUUGGGGUG
rnacentral:rRNA from 1 species